UCCAGCCCUUACAUAUAGAACAAAGAACAUUGAAUAGUUUUGAGCAAAACUGCUUUUUUGCUGUUUUAAUAUCAGGUCAACCUGCUUAACAGUUAAAUCUCCAAGGUGACCAUUAGGUUGACCAGAAUGAAGACAAAUUACAGUGCCAAUUAACUUCAAACGAGCACCUCAUAAGGAACCUGAAGCACCUGGCGGAGAAGCUUACAGCGACAGAACAAACCUGCAAACUCCACACAGAAAGCAGUGGCGGUCAGGUUUGAACCAGGAUCACAGGAACUCUGAGGCAGUAGCUCUCCUGGCUGCACCUCUGUGCCAUCCUAGCAACAAUGGAAGCCAAGCUUGGUUACAUCGUAUCUUCAGGAAACCUAUUUGCACAAUCUUCCACAUAAUCAUAAUAAUUAGCUUUGCUUUUUCAUUUGAGUAAUGAACUUGCACAUGGCCAAGAUUAUGGAGCCUGAGACAUGAGAACUGCUUCUGCAGGCUUAUGUCAAUAUACUAUUUGGCAUUUCAGCAGACUAGUCUAUUCAUGUUGUCUGCGACUCUUGAUUAUGAUAUCAGUUUCAAGUGCACUAAAGCACUAAUAAGCAGGACUAAGAAUAGAAUUUUAUAAUUGUUUUGACUACUGAUAUAAUAUUGCCAAGUUAAAAUAAGCCCAGAAACAGAUGGGAACUGCUAAAACUCAUUGAAAGCUUUCUACCCCAUCGCUGACUCCAGACCUCCCGGGGAAAGGUCAGGUUGUUAGGCUUACCUGCAUUAGUAACAUAUGGACAUGUUUGGAUUAUAGGAGAUCUCAGGCUAGCAGUCAAAGUCGUGAAACCAAUGAGCUACAUAUCAAUUCUCUGUAGAAUUCACAACAUACUCAGUUUUAUGCGUUUUAUUUGAGAAGGUACAUUUUGAUACGUCCUUGACUUAGUUCUUUGCUUAUAAGUAAAUCCUAGAUUUUUUGCCCAUAUUAGAAACUGUGUGCAUUACCAGAGGAUCUUAUGAGCACUUUUAUGCUUAGAUAUCUACAUCUACACUGAGUGAUCCAGUGUAAAAAAUGUCAUUUAAACGGUGGGUGAAUUUUCUCUUGUUUGUGAAUCAAUGCAUUUUUCACCUGCUUGCUGUGUUCAGCAUAGAUGGACUCAAAAUCCGCUUCCAAUACCUCCCUAUGUGGAUUGAACAUUUCUAUUCUCUGCACCCAGAAAUGCCUUCUCUUCUUGCACAUUCACUGUUACCUUUAGCUUCCAAGGACUCUUCUUGGCCACUUCCUAUUUCGCAUCUGUAUAAUAUCUCAGUCCAAAUGCCAUAUUUUCUCGAAACAUAGCAUCUGUUUCCAUAAGCUAGCCACUGUCACAACUAUACCACUGCAUCUGAGCCUCACCAUCACAAUUCUGCUCCAUAGCCACUGACUGCAUCUGACAUUCUAAGAAUUCCCUGAAACUAAACCAGAUGAACCACAACUUCAGUACUUUAAAUUACCUUGAGUUGCAUUUUCCACCAGACUAUCAGACUGAUUAACUCACGCUGAUUUGAGUGUACUUCUAUGUUAGAUUGACAAUUCUAUUUAUUAUAAAUUACUAUGAUAGCACAUAGCACAUUUAGACAGAGACAUAAUGUAAAGAUUUUUACUCCUCAUCUAUGUGAAGAAUGUAAGAAAUAAGCAACACACACAAAAUGUUGGUGGAACACAGCAGGCCAGGCAGCAUCUACAAGGAGAAGCACUGUCAACGUUUUGGGCCGAGACCCUUCGUCAGGAGAUUAAAUAAUUUGUCAGAAAUAAAGUCAUUUCAGUUUGGAUCUCAUGUCUAUACAAUCAACGAAAACAUCAACUGUCACAUUGCCCAUUCAGUCCCUGCUUCGUUUCUUUCGGCAAUUCGUUUGUUACCUCUACACUCAACAAUUCCAAUGUGGCUCAAACUGAAGUUCUACUUUCUAUCAAUUUAAAUAUCACUUAAGAUCAUUCAGAAUUCUGCUGCCUGGAGAGGAGACCAGAGGUCCAUGAGCAAUUCCUCAACAGGGAAUUAGAGAAAAGGAGGGUAACUUUAAAUUAUCAUUUCAGUACAUUUGUCCAGGAACCAGCACAUAUAUGCCAUUACAAAGAAGACAAGAACUCUAUUUUCUUAGAAGUUGGUGCAAAUUUGGAAUGUUAUCCAAAACUGACAAACCACUAUAGUUAAGUAUCUUGACUUGCAUAAUAGCCUGGUGUGAAACCACCAAUGUCCAUGAACUAAAAAACCUAAAGAAAGUAGUGGAUUCAGUCCAGUUCAACAUAGGAAAAGUCCUCUGCACAAUUGAGCACAUUUACUAUGAGCAUUGAUACAAGAAAGCAGCAUCCAUCAAGGACACCCACCAUCUAGGCCAUGUUGUCUUCUUGCUGCAGUCAUCUGGAGUAAGCAGAGCAGCCUUAAGUCCUACAGAUUCAGGGAAAGUUACUACUUUUCAGCUAUCAGGCUC